rnacentral:lncRNA from 1 species
GUCGAUUCUUCAUUUGUUUUCAUAGAUAUAAUUGUGAUAUAUAUAUAUAUUAUAUAUACACAUAUAUAAAAUUAUAAAUGUAUAAGUAUUGUGUUUGAUUUCACACCCAUAUUUCAUUGUAUACUUAUUAGAAAAUGCAUGUGAUGUUGUAUCGUGUGUUUCUCAUAUAGUUAACCUUAUUACCUUUAUGAGCUCAUCCAUUAUUUGAUGUGGUUCUUAUCACCAAGUUUGAAGCUAUGCCAAGCAAUACCCAGUGUAUUAGGGUUGUUUAUUGACUCAACCAUUUAUUUUAACUUACUAACGGUGACAAUGAUUAAAAAAAAAGAAACAGUUUUAUCUUCGUGUGACCAAUUACAAAUUGUAAGCAAUCCACAUAUCAAAUUUGCCAAUGUCAAUUUAUGGUAGAAUACUAUAAAGUAUAUGAUAAUUAAUAUGCAAAUAUUUGGAGUUGUCCAAAAGAUAUAGAUUUUUUAAGGACCAACCAUUGUAUCUAUGCUUCUGUCUUGAUAGAAAAUAUAGUAUGUAUUAUUGUCAAGUAUAUACAGUACGUCAUAUGGCUUCCAUCUCCCAUUGUCAAAAAAAAAAUUCAAAUGUUAAUAUUUAUAUAACUGAAAAUUGAAGACUAGUAUAAUGUAUUUAUGAUGAUUAUCUUGUUAUACUUUAUUAUAAAAAAAGAAAAAAAAACAGUCUUCAAAUAGAAACGAUGGUGUAUGUUACCAUUUCCAAUUGGGAAAAAUAUUCUAAAUUGUCUUUUUUAUGUUGUUUGUUAGUUAAAAAGAAAAUGAGAAUGAUAAUCUCAAAAGUAUUCAUAUAUAUGCCAUCAACUACUGCUCACAGAUGGAGAUGUGUUAUAAAGGACUUUAUACUCUUACUUUUAAUCACAAAAUGAUAUAUAAAAUAUAUUUUAGAAUAUUUUGAUUCUUCCACAUUUUUAUAAAAUCUUGUUUAUUGCUUUGAUGUCUAUAAGAAAAUUUCUUCAUAAUAAUUUUGACCAGAAAAUACAUUGGAUAUUGAGAAUUAGAGCUGGGUAUGAAUGUUUGUGAUGUAUAUGCUGUGUGUUCACUGCCCACAGCAUUUGUGGGACUGUGAUAAGAACAAUCAACAGUUGUUAGAUUUUUUGAUCCACGAGCUUAUUCUUGGAUGUAUAAAACAAAGGCAAUGGUUUUAUUCCCAUUGUAUAUCGGGUCUUGGGCAAUGCUCAAAUGCGAGAUAUUUGAACAAUCAAUUGUGCACAUUACUAGAAUUUUAAAGUAAUUAAAAAAAGUAGAAACAUUUGCACUUAGCAUAUCAUAUUCUUUCAGUUUAUCACAUAUCAUGUUUACUGUGCAUUUUAUAUAUAUUGCCACUUUGCAGCUCAUUUGUGAAGUCAAAUUAUAUGAUGCAGUUACCGAGUGCCAAGUUUCUCUGCCUUUUUAAUAUAUCUCAAUAUUUUGCACACUAGUCAACAACUGGUAGAUUUACUUGCAAAUUGAAAUUUCUUAAAUUAAUGUUUUUAAAGAAAAAACUAAUAAUUUUGAGUGUGCAUGCCUGUGUGAAUUUUUUCAUAGUUUUAUGUAAACAGUUCCAGUUUUCACAGCAUUCUCAAAUCUUUAGCAAUAGUGAUAUAUCUCUACAUAUCCCUCUUUUUCAGUAUAUCUUGUGUUAAGAAAAUUUUUUAAAAAUUGUCGUUUAUCCUUAUUAUUGGCCAUUUUUACAAUCACAAAGCACUAAAUGCAAUAAGUCAUUAUACACUUAACUAAUGUACAAUCUACUUGUAGAUGUUUAAAGUAAACAGUACUAAGCAUGUUUUUAAGAAUGUGCAAAUAUUGCUGUAUUCUGAUGCUAAUGGUUGAUAAUAAAAUUGUUGUGACAUUUUACACCUGGUGAGAUUUUAUUCCACAAAUAUAACACAUCCUCUAAUGUACGUCAAUUAUUUAGAAUAUUGGAAAUUCAAAACUUUUCCCGAGUUGUCGCGUUACGUUAGUGAAAUAAGCCGAUAAAUGUUAAUAUUCUCCAUAGCUAAUAUAAAAUUCUGUGAGAAACGCUAUAUCAUCCCGAUCAAUGAAAUUAUUAACUUUGGUUCUCGGGGUGAUACAGCGUAACUGAAUCCGAGCCUCUAACUGUUUCUUGGAUUAUCCUAAUCGUAACUCUAAUACAGUACUGUUGUUUAAAUUUUUUAGCAGUCAUUUUUCAAUAUUCUAAAUGCAACUACAGAGAGUUCCGAAGGUUCCAAUCUUCGGAAUUUGAAAAAAAAUUUUUGAGCAUGGGCGUGGUAAAUCAAAAUCCUAUUUAAAAGUUCCAAGUUAGCCACUUUUAAAUUAUAGCUGUAAGUCUAACGCUGGUUGACUCGAACCGGUGUGGUGAUAGAAAUAACAAAAAAUCGCAAUUAAAUUGUGACUGACAGCGUAAGUGAAGCGAGAGAUGAUCAUCGGGUCACCACCGCAAUUCAUUGAAAGUCACAUAAUUAUCUGAAAUUAUCCGGUUUCGAUGGAAACCACAAUUCCUCUCUCUGUCAUAACCCAAUGUUAAAAUAACGAAAAUAUAUAGUAAAAUAAGCGCGAUGGCUAUUUUAAGUAUUACGUUGCGAUUAAUUGUAGAUAAUUUUCGAGAAAUAUAAAGCGAACCGGUUGUUGAUUAUUUUGAAUGACAGCACUAACGAAUAUAUAAAAAAGAAUAGAUUUUUCUCGAAAUUUCUGAAUUUAUUUUUAGAAUGGUUUAAAUCCAGGAUGGGCAACCUCCGCUUUGGCGUAUUUUUAUUUCUUUUCUUAAUAAUAAUUAAUUUUCGUUAUUAAUAUGUUAAAAAUUGGCCAAACAAAUCGGAUACUCGCCUUGUUAGACGCGCGUUUAGUACGGAUAUUCAACCAAAAUAUCGGAAACAAAAAAAAAAUCAUCAAAUAUUACAUUAAAAUUCGAUUUUCUUACUUUUAAUACAAAUAAUUAUGUAUCUUUAAUUUUGCGAUUACGAUUAAAAGUUUAAAUAAAUAAAACUGUGCGGUGAAUUGAAAAUUUCAUUGGCCAUACAGGUGGCAACUUUUUACAGAAAUAUGUCGCCCACUUCUAGUUUGAAUGAUGGAGGUAAAUCUUAUUAAUAGUGUUUAUUUCUGUUAAAUAAGAUUUUCACAGGAUAUAAAUAGUUAUAGUUUUAUAUAAUUCAAAAUUAGCGAUUAAUUUUCUCAAUUGCUAAAAUAAUAUAAAAAGAAAGAAAAACUCAUUUUUUUUUUAUAUACG